AGAGUCAUCUUCAGGUUUAAAAUGGAUCCAUAACUAUAAGGAUGAAUUUGAAUGUGAGGAAACUUGAUUUGUUUUUGAGAUGAGCGGGAGUGACCGUCUGCUCUCCUCCUCCCUGUCCACAGGCAACCGGACAAGCUGGUGGUGGUCUGGACUCGGCGCAGUCGACGGAAAUCCUCCAAGUCUCACAGCUGGCAGCCUGGCAUCAAGAACCCGUACCGAGGGGUGGUGGUGUGGCCCGUCCCGGAGAACAUCGAGAUCACGGUCACUCUGUUCAAGGACCCUCACGCAGAAGAGUUCGAGGACAAGGAGUGGACUUUUGUCAUUGAAAAUGUAAGUGAGCUAUUUUUUUGCCAGACUCCACAUGUUUAUAGCUACACUGCCAUCUAGUGGCAAGAAAAGUGUCAGCCUUCGCUUAUGUUCUGAC